AUGAAGAGAAUAAAGAUCUCUGCAUUUUUCCUGACUGAGUGUCAUCAACGAGUACAACCACGCCGUGCUCACUAUGAUGAUGCGCAAUACAAGCUCUUAACCUGUAAGUAUCCUGGAGAAAGAUUUGCAUCCAGUUCUCCGGUUCAAGUUCAAGCUCUUGCCCUGCAAGUAUUUUCGAGAAGAUCUGCUACAGUUCUCCGAUCGGUGCUACUCCAUUGUCAAUGGCGCUUCUCCAGCAACAACACGCAGAUCAUCUACACUAGCAACAAACCACCUGGGACACGCAAAGGAAAACUAGAUUCUGUCUUUUCCACUUCAUCACAAACCAAGCAGAAAGUAAAUCUAUCUACUGACCAGUGUAGCCGUAGUACCUAG
rnacentral:rRNA from 1 species